UGUUAUGGUGGGUCUUUGUUUGGGCAGCAUUCGUGUUGGCCGUUACCUGUUGGCGGUAGUCUCAACCUGAACUUAGAUCCACCACCUUA
rnacentral:antisense_RNA from 1 species